rnacentral:rRNA from 1 species
CUGCAAGUCGAACGCGUUGGCCCUAAUUGAUUGAUGGUGCUUGCACCUGAUUGAUUUUGGUCGCCAACGAGUGGCGGACGGGUGAGUAACACGUAGGUAACCUGCCCAGAAGCGGGGGACGACAUUGUGAGAUACAUGUACGCUAAUACAGCAUAACAGCGUGGUUCUCUUGAACAACGCUUAUAAGAUGGAUUCUCUCUAUCACUUCAUGGAUGGACCUGCGGUGCAUUAUGUUGUUGGUGGGGUACACGGCCUACCAAGGCGAUGACGCAUAGCCGAGUUGAUAGACUGAUCGGCCACUAUGGGACUGAGACACGGCCCAUACUCCUACGGGAGGCAGCAGUAGGGAAUCUUCCACAAUGGGCGCAAGCCUGAUGGAGCAACACCGCGUGAGUGAAGAAGGGUUUCGGCUCGUAAAGCUCUAAAAUAACAGAUAGAACACGUAUGAGAGGAACUGUUCAUACGUUGACGGCAUUUAACCACAUAUCUCGGGUAACUACGUGCCAGCAGCCGCGGGAGUACGUAGGUGUCAAGCGUUAUUCCGGAUUUAUUGGGCGUAAAGAGAGUGCAGGCGGUUUUCUAAGUCUGAUGUGAAAGCUUCGGAUAAACCGUAUAAGAGCUUCGGAAACUGGAGACUUGAGUGCAGAAGAGCUCCUGUAACUCCAUGUGUAGCGUGGAAUGUGUAGAUAUAUGCAAGAACACCAGUGGCUAAUGUGCUACCUGGGUCUGCAUCUGACUCUAAGACUCGAAGCAUGCGUAGCGAACAGACUAGAUACCUGUCAGACAUGACGAAACGAUGAGUGCUAGGUGUUGCCGCUUUCCGCCUUCAGUGCCGGAGCUAACGCAUUAAGCACUCCGCCUGGGGAGUACGACCGCAAGGUUGAGCAAGGUAAAUCAAGGAGUCACGCAGCCGCACAACUGUGGAUAUGUGAUUAUUCGAAGCUACGCGAAGAACCUUACCAGGUCUUGACAUCUUGCGCCAACCCUAGAGAUAGGGCGUUUCCUUCGGGAACGCAAUGACAGGUGGUGCAUGGUCGUCGUCAGCUCUUGUCGUGAGAUGUUGGGUUAAG